CCCCCCCCAAAAAAAACACAGUGGGAGAUGGCAGCAGUCUGGUGGUUUGAUGACGCCAUUUCCUGUCUUGAAGAAAUGAGCUCAGCUCAGCUCAGUGCAGUUGAGAACUCACCAUGAUGUUUCGCCUCUCCAUCCAACUUGUGACAGUGCUCUUUCUAACAGUCCCCGCUGUGUGUAAAGACGUCCAACAGUCUCCAGAUGCAGUCUUGUGUCAUCCUGACAGUAUUGCUGAGCUGACAUGCAGCCACAAAAUCAGUACCUAUGAUACAAUAUUAUGGUAUCAGCGCUCAGUUGGGGACACAGCACUAAAACUUUUAGCUUAUAUUUACUAUAAAAAACCAAAGAUUGAGGAUCCAUAUGUAGCUCACUUCAAUGUAUCAGGAGGUGCAGCAUUACCCAUCACCCAUCUGCAAUUUCUUAGUGCAUUAUGAAACAAUCCAGUGAUUCUCCUCCAUGUCUGCUCUUUGACAUACACCCUCACAUAAGAUCAACAUGAGAGGAUCUCUCGUUUCUUCAACAACUGUGCUUUGUUUCAUAGGUGUGGUGUUUUCUAGUAAGGUUCAUCAAACUCCUUCUGCAAUUUUUUGGAGUCCUGAAAGUCCAUCUGAAAUCACCUGUCGCCAUCAAAUAACUAACUAUGACACUUUACUGUGGUACCAGCGCUCACAGACAGACACUGAGCUGAAACUCAUUGGUUAUAUGAGAUAUGACCAAAGAACUAUUGAGAAGCAAUUUGAGAAGCAUUUUAAUGUGAGCGGUUAUGGUGAAACACACUCUACACUUCAUCUUAUCCACCUGAGAAAAUCUGAAGAUAGUGCUAUGUACUACUGUGCUGCGUAUUACCACAGUGCUGUUUCCUCCCUUUCCAUUAAACAAAAACCCACCUUUAAUAAUCUCAUAACAGACAGCAGUUUUGCACAGCUGUCACAUGAUUUGGUACAUGAUAUAUUCUCUUUACUUUGUGUGCAGAUGUGUUUACCUAUUGAAGUUGUCUGUCUACUAACUAGAAUUUCAGUAUACAUUAUUUAAUGACAGAGCAAACAAAUCAGCAUCCACAAUAAGCAACUGCCUGGCAACCAAUCCAAAAAAAAAAAAAAAAGGAUCGCAUCAUUUGCACACCAGAGGGCAGACACUGUUUACAGUUAUAACCGAUAGAGUUAUGAUGUAGUUUCCGUUCUUACAUGAAGGGAAAACAAGUUUAAGAAUAGAUUAGUUUCUCCUAUCCAGUCAUUUGUCUUUAGGAACAACAUGAUUAGACAUCUGAUCAACACUGCUAACUUGUUGCUGUUUUUAACAGGUAAUAAAAUGCAUUUAAACAAGAUGCA
ensembl:lncRNA